UACAGAGGUCUCAAGCGUUGUUCGGAUUCAUUGGGCGUAAAGGGUGCGUAGGCGGUUCGGUAAGUCGGGUGUGAAACACGAGGCUCAACCUCGUGCGUGCAUCCGAUACUGCCGGACUAGAGGUAGGUAGGGGAGAUCGGAAUUCCUGGUGUAGCGGUGAAAUGCGCAGAUAUCAGGAGGAACACCGGUGGCGAAGGCGGAUCUCUGGGCCUUACCUGACGCUCAGGCGCGAAAGCUAGGGGAGCGAACAGG
rnacentral:rRNA from 1 species